GCCCCGUUCGUCUAGCGCCUAGGACGCCGGCCUCUCACGCCGGUAACACGGGUUCAAAUCCCGUACGGGUAC
rnacentral:tRNA from 1 species